rnacentral:misc_RNA from 1 species
UGGUUCUGGCAUNGAUGAAGAACGCAGCAAAAUGCGAUAAGUAAUGUGAAUUGCAGAAUUCAGUGAAUCAUCGAAUCUUUGAACGCACAUUGCGCCCGCCAGUAUUCUGGCGGGCAUGCCUGUUCGAGCGUCAUUUCAACCCUCAAGCUCAGCUUGGUGUUGGGAUUCGCGGCUCUGAGCCGCGGUCCCUAAAUACAUUGGCGGUCACGUCGAGCUUCCAUAGCGUAGUAAUUUACAUAUCGUUACUGGUAAUCGUCGCGGCCACGCCGUUAAACCCCAACUUCUGAAUGUUGACCUCGGAUCAGGUAGGAAUACCCGCUGA